rnacentral:rRNA from 1 species
GAAGCAGCAGUAGGGAAUCUUCCACAAUGGACGAAAGUCUGAUGGAGCAAUACCAUGUGAACGAUGAAGGCCUUUUUGGUUGUAAAGUUCUUUUACGAGGGAUAAUUAUGAUAGUACUUCGUGAAUAAGUGACAGCAAACUAUGUGCCAGCAGCUGCGGUAAUACAUAGGUCGCGAGCAUUAUUCGGAUUUAUUGGGCGUAAAGCAAGCGCAGGCGGAUGUGUAAGUUCUGUGUUAAAUGCAGCUACUCAAUAGUUGUAUGCACCGAAUACUACAUGUCUAGAUUGUGGUAGGGAGUUUCGGAAUUAAGCAUGGAGCGGUGGAAUGUGUAGAUAUGCUUAAGAACACCAGAGGCGAAGGCGGAAACUUAGGCCAUAAAUGACGCUUAGGCUUGAAAGUGUGGGGAGCAAAUGGGAUUAGAUACCCCAGUAGUCCACACCGUAAACGAUGGGUAUUAGAUAUUAGGGCUUUAGCUUUAGUGUUGUAGCUUACGC